AUUGAACGCUGGCGGCGUGCCUAAUACAUGCAAGUCGAACGCAGUGGGGACGGGUGAGUAACACGUGGGUAACCUCCCAUCAGAGGGGAUAACACUUGGCAACAGGUGCUAAACCGACAUUGAAGGAUGGACCCGCGGUGCAUUAGGUAGUUGGUGAGGUAACGGCUCACCAAGGCCACGAUGCAUAGCCGACCUGAGAGGAUGAUCGGCCACACUGGGACUGAGACACGGCCCAGACUCCUACGGGAGGCAGCAGUGGGGAAUAUUCGGCAAUGGACGAAAGUCUGAUCGAGCCACGCCGCGUGAGUGAAGAAGGCUUUAGGAUCGUAAAGCUCUGUUGGUAGAGAAGCGGUAUCUAACGAGAAAGCACCGGCUAACUCCGUGCCAGCCGCCGCGGUAAUUC
rnacentral:rRNA from 1 species